AGAGUUUGAUCCUGGCUCAGGACGAACGCUGGCGGCGUGCUUAACACAUGCAAGUCAAGGGGGCCCAGCAAUGGGCAACCGGCGAACGGGUGCGUAACACGUGAGCAACCUACCGAACUGUGGGGGAUAGCCGGCCUAACGGCCGAGUAAUACCGCAUACGCUCUCAGAGAGGCAUUUCUUUGAGAGGAAACCUACGGGACAGAUCGAGGGGCUCGCGGCCUAUCAGCUAGUUGGCGAGGUAACGGCUCACCAAGGCGACGACGGGUAGCUGGUCUGAGAGGAUGGCCAGCCACAUUGGGACUGAGAUACGGCCCAGACUCCUACGGGAGGCAGCAGUGGGGAAUCUUGCGCAAUGGCCUAACGGCUGACGCAGCGACGCCGCGUGUGGGAUGAAGCUCCUCGGAGUGUAAACCACUGUUGCCCGGGACGAAUAGCUCGAUUAAUCGAGCCUGACGGUACCGGGUGAGGAAGCACCGGCUAACUCCGUGCCAGCAGCCGCGGUAAUACGGGGGGUGCGAGCGUUGUCCGGAAUCACUGGGCGUAAAGGGCGCGUAGGUGGUUUGAUAAGGGUGUGGUGAAAGUCCGGGGCUCAACCCCGGAUCUGCCGUGCCGACUGUCAAACUCGAGGACUGUAGAGGCAGGCGGAAUUCCGGGUGUAGCGGUGGAAUGCGUAGAGAUCCGGAGGAAGACCGGUGGCGAAGGCGGCCUGCUGGGCAGUUUCUGACACUGAUGCGCGACAGCGUGGGGAGCAAACAGGAUUAGAUACCCUAGUAGUCC
rnacentral:rRNA from 1 species